CUGGUUGAUCCUGCCAGACCCGACUGCUAUCGGAUUGGGACUAAGCCAUGCGAGUCAACUCCGCAAGGGGUGGCGCACGGCUCAGUAACACGUAGUCAACCUACCCUGGGGACGGGGAUAACCUCGGGAAACUGAGGCUAAACCCCGAUGGGCCAUGGCUCCUGGAAUGGGCUAUGGCUGAAAUCUACAUGGCCCCAGGAUGGGACUGCGGCCGAUCAGGUUGUUGGUGGGGUAAUGGCCCACCAAGCCUAUAACCGGUGCGGGCUCUGAGAGGAGGAGCCCGGAGAUGGGCACUGAGACAAGGGCCCAGGUCCUAUGGGGCGCAGCAGGCGCGAAACCUCCGCAAUGGGCGAAAGCCCGACGGGGUCAGUCCGAGUGGUUCCCGCUGAGGGAACCUUUUGCCAGCUGUAAACAGGCUGGCGAAUAAGGGGUGGGCAAGUUUGGUGUCAGCCGCCGCGGUAAUACCAGCACCCCGAGUGGUCGGGACGAUUAUUGGGCCUAAAGCAUCCGUAGCCGGCCCAGUAAGUCCUCCGUUAAAUCCAACGGCUCAACCGUUGGGCUGCGGGGGAUACUGCUGGGCUAGGGGACGGGAGAGGCGAGGGGUAUUCCCGGGGUAGGGGUAAAAUCCACUGAUCCCGGGAGGGCCACCAGUGGCGAAGGCGCCUCGCUAGAACGUGCCCGACGGUGAGGGAUGAAAGCUGGGGGAGCGAACCGGAUUAGAUACCCGGGUAGUCCCAGCCGUAAACGAUGUAGGCUCGGUGUUGGGCUGCCUCAGUGGCAGCCCAGUGCCGCAGGGAAGCCGUUAAGCCUACCGCCUGGGGAGUACGGCCGCAAGGCUGAAACUUAAAGGAAUUGGCGGGGGAGCACCAC
rnacentral:rRNA from 1 species